rnacentral:lncRNA from 1 species
GGCAGACUUCUUUCUCCGCUCAUCCUCCUCCUCCUUUGUGUCAGGAUCUCACUAUGUACAUCAGGCUGGCUGUGGCUUUCAUCCAUCAUCCUGCUCUGCCCCUGGAAUGCUGUGAUUGCAGGUAUCCACAGAGGCCAGAAGAUCUCCUGAGAAGACUCCAAGUCUGAUCCCUUGAGACUUGGAGUUACAGGCGGUUGUGAGCCUCCAAAUGGCGUCUGGGAAUCAAACCCAGAUCCUCCAGAUAAGCAACCAGUGCUCUUAAAUGCUGGUCUCUCUCCAGCCCUGUGGCCAAUGUGUUCAUGCAACAAAUUCCAAACCAGCCAGAGCUUUUCUGAAAAGUCAAACAAACAAUGCUCUCAUGUGGUUUCAAGGCACUGUCCAAAAGUUUGACAGCUGGGUAGGGAAUUGUGUUUACUGAGCACCUACUGUGUGCCUUCAGCCCUGUCACUUUAGUUUGCUUCUGAUGGACAUUAUUGUACCCACUGAACAGAGGCGGAAGCCAAGACUCAGAAAAAUAAAUCAUUUCCCUUCUCUG